ensembl:lncRNA
AUGUGGGUGUCUUUUUUUUAUGUGUGUGUGUGUGUUGUAGAGGUUAACAGAAACAAAGUGUUUAAAACUACCAGGGUGCGGACUUUACUGAAAAAGGAUGGCUGUUGGAUCCAGAGUCAGAAGUCAAACAAGGAGAAAGAAGGAGCAAGGAAAGGCCAUGAUGUGGAGACGUCCUCAGUCCCGCGGCAUACAUCCGUCCAGUCCUUAGCAAAGAAGUUUGAGCCGCAAGCACCCACAGAAGAAAUUAUCCAAAAUGACACCCAAUCAGAAGAAAGAUGUGCCAACAUGACUGCCGACGUCUCUGCAGAAGUUCAUGUUACAGAAGAAAUCCAAAAUGGUGAACCACAUGAAAUUCCUUCAACAAAGAGAAAUCCAGAAGCAGUUUCUCCCGUGCAACCAGCUGAGCAGGCAGUUGCCAACACAACUACAGAAAACAAGGGAGAACAAACUAAUAAAACAGUUGAGCAGUCAAACCAAGAACACAGUGAGGCCAAGGUCUCAGCCAAUGCCCAUGUGCAAGACCCUGAGGCAGAAACCUGUGUAGCUCCUGCAGUCAAACCUAAACCCAAAGAGGAACCUGCAACCAAAACAGAGCAGGACAUUGCAACACAAUUAGAACAUGCAGAAGUACAAUCAACUGUGCAGCUUGCAGAGGGAAAUUGUAUGAAAGGUCCUCCAAAACAGGGUGCAGGAGAAAUUGUAGAAGCUAAAGCUGAGGUUGCUGUGGCUCCAUCACCUGAGAUAAGUGACGUUGUUGAUGCAACACUUGUAAAAGAGGUUGUCCUUCAAGAGAGCGUCGAAGCUGUCGCUGAGAUUGUGACAAAGUCUCCAUUGAACACUAGCAACGCGUUGGAGACCACACCUGGAAACAAAGCCGCGCUAGAGAUCAGUGUGGAACCAGUGCCUGACUUAUUGGCAGAACCUGAAUCUGAGGGGCCCUCUCAACGCGUUACUGAAACUGCUCCAGCGGGGAAUCGUGAGAAAGGUCCUCCAGAACAAGCUGCAGCAGAAAUUGUCAAAGCUAAAGCUGAGGUUGCUGUGGCGCCAUCCCCUGAGAUAAGUGACGUUGUUGAUGCAACACUUGUAAAAGAGGUUGUCCUUGAAGAGAGCGCCGAAGCUGUCGCUGAGAUUGUGACAAAGCCCUCAUCGAACACGACCAACGCGUUGGAGACCACACCUGGAAACAAAGCCGCGCUAGAGAUCAGUGUGGAACCAGUGCCUGACUUAUUGGCAGAACCUGAAUCUGAGGGGCCCUCUCAACGCGUUACUGAAACUGCUCCAGCGGGGAAUCGUGAGAAAGGUCCUCCAGAACAAGCUGCAGCAGAAAUUGUCAAAGCUAAAGCUGAGGUUGCUGUGGCGCCAUCCCCUGAGAUAAGGGACGUUGUUGAUGCAACACUUGUAAAAGAGGUUGUCCUUGAAGAGAGCGCCGAAGCUGUCGCUGAGAUUGUGACAAAGCCNNNNNNNNNNUUCAUCGAACACGACCAACGCGUUGGAGACCACACCUGGAAACAAAGCCGCGCUAGAGAUCAGUGUGGAACCAGUGCCUGA